AGGCCUCAGGGUGCAGCAGUAAUAAUCUUCUUUUACACCUGCAAGUAUGAGGAUACUGCCUUACUGGUACACGAAAUCUCAGAUUAAACAGUGGAGAGUGAUUAUUCAGAUGAGGAGAAAUCGUCAUCUGUGUCAGAAAAUAAACCCAACCAAGGCGAAUGCAGCAGCCUGAAUUGCGCCAGGAAUCUCCUGAGAGCCUUCCUCUUGAGACCAUAUGACCCAGCUUCCACCUCCCAGGGGACUAGCCAAGCCUGAAAAGGGGAAAAGAGGCCGUGGCAAGGGACAUGGUCGGGGUUCCAGAGGUGGCAGGUCAGUGGCAGUGGAGGAGAUCGUCAUUGAUAACAAGCUCUUAAUUGAGCUCAUACAUGCCCGGCAUGCUCUCUGGGACACCACAGACCACAAACAUGCUGACCAAGCAGCAACAAGAAGGCUAUGGAAGAAAGAAUAAAAGUGAGGUGGAAUUCAUUGAGGGAUCACUUUAUCUGCAACCUAAACGAGGAGGCCACAGCACCUAGUGGGUCAGGUGCUAAGAGGAGUUUUGCCAGUCACAGCAGGAGGGGGCAGUGCCAUCUACAGGCCCCCCUACUGACUUUAUGCUGUUUCUCCAGAGCCUAGCACCCAUGAUGGAGAGUCUGUCAAUUGAUCGGCAAAGCAAAUUCCGCAUUGGUUUGGUACAACUGCUUCAGAAGAUCCGCCACUGCCUGCCACCACAGUCCCCUUCCCAUUAUUUUGCCCAUCACUGUUCCUGCUCCCCUCCCCAGUCCUAUGCCCCCCAUAAAUUUAUGCCCACUCCCAGCCACAGCCCCACACCUACUUCCUGACCCACUCUCUGAGACAUGAGCAGCAUAUGGACAAAUCACAGGCCCCUUCCCAUUCUAUGGGUGUUAGUAUGGUCCAAAUACUGACCCAGCUGGAAUCCCCUAACCACCCCACCUCCCAGUCCACUCCAUGUACCUCAGGCCCUACAUCACAUAGUUAUUCCAAUACACCACCCACUACCCAACAACCUUCUUCUCUUCCUACCCCCCAGCACACCCUUCAUACAAUCUUAUUCAUAUUCUCAUUCUUAUUCCCUGGAUACCCAUACCGUAUUUGCUGGUGGUCUUCUGAAUUGAGGGACCAAACAAAUGUGGCGCCCCAAGGAGCGCAUCCAGACCCUAUACCCCCAUUGACCAGCCCCAGUUUGACCAGCAAUAGGAUGGAGAAGCUGGUAGUUUACCUUUUGAUAA